UGGGACUGAGACACGGCCCAGACUCCUACGGGAGGCAGCAGUGGGGAAUUUUGGACAAUGGGCGCAAGCCUGAUCCAGCCAUGCCGCGUGUCUGAAGAAGGCCUCGGUUGUAAGGACUUUGUCAGGGAGCAAAACUUACUGGUUAAUACCUGGUGAGGUUGAGAGUACCUGAAGAAUAAGCACCGGCUAACUACGUGCCAGCAGCCGCGGUAAUACGUAGGGUGCAAGCGUUAAUCGGAAUUACUGGGCGUAAAGCGUGCGCAGGCGGACUUUUAAGCCAGAUGUGAAAGCCCCGAGCUUAACUUGGGAAUUGCGUUUGGAACUGGGAGUCUAGAGUCUGUCAGAGGGGGAUGGAAUUCCACGUGUAGCAGUGAAAUGCGUAGAGAUGUGGAGGAACACCGAUGGCGAAGGCAGUCCCCUGGGAUAAGACUGACGCUCAUGCACGAAAGCGUGGGGAGCAAAACAGGGAUUAGAUACCCUGGUAGUCCACGCCCUAAACGAUGUCUACUAGUUGUU
rnacentral:rRNA from 1 species